GACGAACGCUGGCGGCGUGCUUAACACAUGCAAGUCGAACGAUGAACCGAGAGCUUGCUCUUGGGGAUUAGUGGCGAACGGGUGAGUAACACGUGAGUAACCUGCCCUGGACUCUGGGAUAACCCCGAGAAAUCGGAGCUAAUACCGGAUAGGACCCUGUACCGCAUGGUGUGGGGUGGAAAGUUUUUUCGGUUUGGGAUGGACUCGCGGCCUAUCAGCGUGUUGGUGAGGUAAUGGCUCACCAAGGCGUCGACGGGUAACCGGCCUGAGAGGGUGACCGGCCACACUGGGACUGAGACACGGCCCACACUCCUACGGGAGGCAGCAGUGGGGAAUAUUGCACAAUGGGCGCGAGCCUGAUGCAGCAACGCCGCGUGCGGGAUGACGGCCUUCGGGUUGUAAACCGCCUUUAGUAAGGAAGAAGGGGAGCUUGCUCCUUGACGGUACUUGCAGAAAAAGGACCGGCUAACUACGUGCCAGCCGCCGCAGUAAAAC
rnacentral:rRNA from 1 species